ensembl:lncRNA
AACAGCCCCAUUUCUGGGUUGGGAGAAGUGAGGGAUUCCUGCCCUUGCGCUGUGGGUCACAGAAUCACAGAAUUGUAGGGGUUGGAAGGGACCUCCAGAGAUCGAGUCCAACCCCCCUACCAAAGCAGUUCCCUACACCAGGUUGCACAAGUAGGCAUCCAGGCAGGUCUUGAAUAGCUCCAGAGAAGGAGACUCCACAACCUCCCUGGGCAGCCUGUUCCAGUGCUCCAUCACCUCACCAUAAAGAAAUUUUUGCGCACAAUUGUGCGGAACUUCAGGGUCAGGGCAGCACCACACCUGGAAGCACUGCUGGUGCUGCUGCCCAAGGCCUCUGCCCACCCCCUGCCUCCCCCAAACCCAUCUCCAUUUCAUUUGCAAACUCAUUUCAUGAUGGAGCAGAAAUGCCAAUCAGUGGCACAGCCAUCAGCACACGAGCAUCCCCAAUCUGCAUUAGGCGGCCGGGCAGCCUUCCAGAGCACCAGCUACAACACAUGAAUUAUUGCCCAAACAUUACUGCUGUCAGCACAUUCCUCUCUACACAACUUCCUAUUAUUAUUUUUUUGGCAGACAACCCUGAAAUUUUAAACAGCUCAAUCUUGCUAAAGUGAUGCAACUGCUCGCUGCCUCCAGGAGGAACUUCUGAAAACCAACAACAAUCCUUCCACCGAGAAUAGCAACAAAAAGCCCCAAACGCUCCUCGUGCUGCUUCUUUGUUUUGGUGUCUCCGGCAUCUCCGACUUCCACUCUAAUUUGCAGUAACAGCCUUUUAUUUGUCUUGCGAAGGGAAUAAAGAGACUUAAGGGAUCCUUAAGCUUCAGUGACAGCACAGAAGCGGCGGUAACACGGCAGGCAGGGUCGGAGCGCUGCUGCCCGCGUUCAGCUCAUUAAGAGAAAUGUGCACUGAGUGCCAUUUGCUUUGAAGUUGUUUGUGCUGCUGUGAUUCAUUCAGAGAACGCAAGAGUCCGAGAAGAGCUACAAAUGGCCUUAAAAACCCCUGGAAGCGAGGUAUUCUGUUUGUCGGUGUUGGAGCAGCUGCAGCACCACCAGGGAGGCAGCAAUGAGGUGAGCAGGCCUGAUGGGCACCAGGGCAACUUGCGAGCCUGUGGCACAGAGCCCAGCACAGCGGAGGAGAGAAGGGCAAGAACACAAAGCCAGCAAAGAACAGAGCCUUUGGGGGAAGCUUGGAGGCAUGGUUUGAACGCAUCCUCUAUGCAUGGCCCCAUUCCAGCAUCAGCCUGCUUCGCCCAGCACAAGAGCUCCCAGGUAGGAGGUGCUGGGAGAGCAGAACUCAGCAAAUGGGCGUGCAAAGCUUUUCCACCCACAGCCCAAACCAAAGCAAUUUGCAGCAGGCAUCACGCUGGUUCUGCUUACGCACAAAAGUGCUCGAUGCUGUGCGAGUGUCCAAAGCUCAGUUUCAGACCCCAUUAAACAUUAGGGCUGUCAGCCAGAAGGCAGCCACAACAAAAGAUCCAAACGUUAUUUCUGAAGCAUGAGCAGAAAGGCUUCCUUUGUAAAAGCAUUUGGUUUCUCUGAAAACAAACUCUUUAAAAGCAAUGAAAUUUUACUCUGGAGUCACCAGUCUCUCCAUCUUCACAAUGGGGACCUUGACCAGCAACACAGAGUCGGUACCAUGCACACAAGCAGCAUUUAUUUUCUUCAUUUAUUUUGUUGUCCCAUCUGAGCUCAUUCCCAUGGGAGAGCUGCUGUACCAUGGCUUGCAUCACAGCACCCUUAGCAAUAACCCAGAGCUGCACACACCGACAUACCUGACCCUCAGCACACAGCUCCUGCCUGUGGGUACAGAUGUAUUUCCCACAGACUGAACCGUGCUGCUUCAGAAUCUUUACACAGAGGAUGGCAGAGCAAGAUUUGUAGGGACAAAGUACUCGGAGAGAAUAUUAAACCAAAUAAUGGCAAUUAAUUAGGCUUGUGUAAAGCUAUUAACCUUCCAAUCCCUAUGGAAAUAACAAGCGAUGCUCGAAUCCUCUGGGAUGCAGACGAUAUUACCUCAUUCCAUGGAAGAGGAAGCCAAGAUGCAGAGCAGUGAUUUUGCCCAGGCUAUGCUGCAGUCGGGCUGGAGGGGGGCACAGCCCCCUCCUAUUGCACAGCCAAUCUGCUGCCUUUCCAUCCAGCCACUCAGGUUUAAGUGAUACCCACACGCACAUCUCCAACCCCACAUAACUGAUUAUUACAGCCCAACACACCACAGUUACGGAUUACUUUGCACCAUACAGAAGUGGGAUUUGCUGGUCCAGGUGCUCCCUAUUGGAUUUUUCCUCUCCAACCCCCCCAGCCCUGUGCAGCGGUCAGCCUGCAGGCUCCCUCCCCACCUCCUCCUCCUCAAUAUUAGCACUGCACACACACAUAUUAAAAACAAUCUUAAUAUUCUCCUAAGCACUCUCCCCAAAUGCCUUUCCCAGCUUCUCUGGGCAGCACAUAAGACCAAAAAUCUGGGCAUCAGCUAAACCCAGAACCCUCUCCGGGGUGUUACAGCCCAGCCCCAAUAAAUCUUGCAGAAUUUUUGCA